AUUGAACGCUGGCGGCAUGCCUUACACAUGCAAGUCGAACGGUAACAGGUCUUCGGAUGCUGACGAGUGGCGCACGGGUGCGUAAUACAUCGGAACGUGCCCGAUCGUGGGGGAUAACGAGGCGAAAGCUUUGCUAAUACCGCAUACGAUCUACGGAUGAAAGCGGGGGAUCUUCGGACCUCGCGCGGACGGAGCGGCCGAUGGCAGAUUAGGUAGUUGGUGGGAUAAAAGCUUACCAAGCCGACGAUCUGUAGCUGGUCUGAGAGGAUGAUCAGCCACACUGGGACUGAGACACGGCCCAGACUCCUACGGGAGGCAGCAGUGGGGAAUUUUGGACAAAGGGCGAAAGCCUGAUCCAGCCAUGCCGCGUGCAGGAUGAAGGCCUUCGGGUUGUAAACUGCUUUUGUACGGAACGAAAAGCCUCUUUCUAAUAAAGAGGGGUCAUGACGGUACCGUAAGAAUAAGCACCGGCUAACUACGUG
rnacentral:rRNA from 1 species